rnacentral:lncRNA from 1 species
AAAAUCGUUCAGAUUUCUAUAAUAGUGUUACAUUGAAUUUGUCAACAACAACUUCAUAUUGUUUUACACUAAUUCAGUGAAGUCAGAUGUUUGCCAUCAGACCGCCCUCUCCGUGAUUUUAUUUGUGUCUUCUGCAUCCUUCCAGAUAUUUCGACAAAAUCUUUUCAGUACCGGACCAUCGUUUCUUCUCACCACAAAGACCAGCAAACUAUGUAAUGUUGAAAGCUGUCAUCAAAGCUAUAAUCAUGAGUGCAUUUUGCUGCAGCACAGCAGUUAUGCGGAAAUGGUGAAGACAGAAAACAAAGUGGUAAAUCACGGUUUUUGUUUAAUGGUAUUUCUCUCAGGCUUAUUCAAUGGGUGACUGACUGUAUUGCAUUUCAUGUGCUGAACUAUUUUUCAAUUUUUCCAUCAGUUUGACUGAGAAACCAGUUCAGUGACAAGGAUCCAAAGGAUUUCAGUAAGGCUGAACAAGUCCAAAUGGAGGUAUUUAAAAUCUAAUUCAUAACAAGAAUAAGAAUAAUAUUUACUGUACCAGUUUAACUUUUUUCUGGUUACUACAUGAUUCCAUAUGUGUUAUUUCAAAGUUUUGAUGUCAUCACUAUUAUUCUACAAUGUUGAAAAUAGUAAAAAUCAAGAAAAACCUUGAAUGAGUAGGUGUGUCCAAACUUUGGACUGGUACUGUAUAUAUACACCACUGUUCAAAAGUUUGGGGUCACUUAGAAAUGUCCUUGUUUUUUAAAGAAAAGCUCAUUUUUUGGUCCAUUAAAAUCACAUCAAAUUGACCAGAAAUACAGUGUAGAACUGUUUAAUGUUGUAAAUGACUAUUGUAGCUGGAAACGGCUGAUUUUUAAUGGAAUAUCUACAUAGGCGUACAGAGGCCCAUUAUCAGCAACCAUCGCUCCUGUGUUCCAAUGGCACGUUGUGUUAGCUAAUCCAAGUUUAUCAUUUUAAAAGGCUAAUUGAUCAUUAGAAAACCCUUUUGCAAUUAUGUUAGCACAGCUGAAAACUGUUGUCCUGAUAAAAGAAGCAAUAAAAUUGGCCUUUGUG